rnacentral:lncRNA from 1 species
UUGGAUUGAGAAAGAGUCCAGCCUAUAAAUGCUCUACUGGUAGAUGACUAAGAGUGGGCUUUAUUUGAAAGUGAAACGGUGACCCAAGCGGACUACUUGGGGUGGGGAAGAUAGCGACCGUUGACCAUCCAGUGGCCAACUACAUUCGUCAGGGUACCCGAUAAACAAUUUGGAUAACGAACUACUGUGACCCUCAUAAUUGUCUUUUAAGUAAGAAAUAAAAAAUGUCACAUGACGAAAAUUAUGUCAUGAAUGCAAUGACAAUGUACAACAAAUAAUGAAUAAAUAAUGAGUACAAAAUGCAAAUAAUCAACAAAAUAUACAAGAUAUAAGGAAUAACACAAUAAAAGGAUAGUCUCCUCAAUUUGAAAAAAUGAACACAUAAUAGUUAGAACCUAUAUGUCCCCAGUGGAGUCGUCAUUCUGUUGACAUCCUUUGACAGGGUG